AUAAACAAAAACUUUCAAAGCAGAGUCAUCACACGAGUGACGAGAAAAGGAAGCCCUCUCUUUCAUUUGAUCAUUUUAUUGAAAAUCCUCUUCUCCUUCUCUUCAUUUCUUUGAUCUCUUCAAUUUUCUCUGCUCUCCACUUCUAUUGCUGUAACCCCAUGUUAGCUCAUAUCCUCCAAAAUCGUUUACUUUGAAAUCUUAGCUCUCCAUCUCUCUCGUACGGAGUACAAAAAAGGACAAAGAAAUGAUUCAGCUACUGUUUACACUGAUAUUCUCUGAGAUGGCAUUGAUAAUGGUGCUUGUGUUCAAGACCCCGUUAAGAAAGUUAGUGUUGAUGAGUCUGGAUCGGGUCAAGCGAGGUCACGGCCCAAUCGUGGUAAAGACGGUGGCAGGAACGGUUUUUGUGGUGUUGAUGUCAAGUGUGUACAGCAUAAUGAAGAUACAGAAGCGUUGGAUCGAUGAGGGUGCUGUCAAUCCAACGGACCAGGUUCUCAUGGCCAAGCACCUUCUUGAGGCCACUCUCAUGGGAUCCUCUCUCUUCCUUGCACUAUCGAUGGACAGACUGCACCAUUAUAUCCAAGAACUCCGUAUACGGCGGAAGAGCAUGGAUGCUGCGAAGAAACAAAAUCGAGUUAUUGAGGAUGGAAAAGUUGAGGAGAGCAAAGUCCUGGAAAAAGAGAUGACCACAGAACUAGCAAAACUUAAGCAACUAGAAUCAGAACUGGAGGUGAAAACAAAAGAGGUUCAUGCUUCAGAAGCUAAUGCAGCAGCUCUGAGGAAGCAAUCUGAAGGAUUCCUUCUGGAGUAUGAUCGCUUACUUGAGGAGAACCAAAACCUACGGAACCAACUUCAAUCUUUGGACUUGAGAUUAUCUCAUUCAAGUACCAAGAAGAAUACUUAAGGAACUGAGCACCUUCAUCAAAUAGAUUUUUCAAAUUCCAUUUUACUUUUAUACUAUUCAUCUGGAAAAUUUUAAAUUUGAUUUUUUUUAUUGUGGUUCAAGUUUGAGUUAUGCAUUAUUGUAAGUGGAGAAAAAGAGAGAAGCAAAAUAGGAAAAAGGAAAGAGAAAAUAGGUUUUUAUUUUCUGUGUUCAAUUCAAGUAGGCUUCAUAACGAAGAAGAAUGGGUCAAUAUUGUCCGGAGAAAAUGUGGUGCAUUGUGAGGACAACUCAAGACCUGCUCUUCUUAUGACUUUUAAAGAGAAUGGUCAGGAAUGGUUAGUCCUUUUCUUUAUUUUUCUUUUUUCGAUAAAUGGUUUCAAAAUACGACUGAUUUUAGACGACUAUUCUGCAUAGCUUAAGUCCUUGAAUUGUUAAAAAGUUUCAGUGUAGGGGAUCAUUUUCUUGGAGAGCCCAUCUGUAUUGAAUACAGUGAGUAGCAUCAAGCCAUGGAGAACCAGAACUGAGAGUGCAGAUAACACUAGCAUCAAUACGAAUGCUGGCAUGAUCUUAGAACCUUUUUUGCAUAUUCAGCAGACGCUGGACCCAGGAAUGUUAGUGGUAAGCCCAAAACUUUACAAAGCCUAACAAAGGGCACCAAAUAAUGCACCAUCCCCAGUGAGAGUAUGCAAACUGCUCCUUUAUGCCCUCUCUGUGCUGCUGCUGUUACAACCACUAGGUUCGCUAAUACCGAUAUUUGGCUGGUUGGAUUUGCAAGAAUGUAACUACACAAUGCUUUAAAAGCAAAAAAGGUUCUUUAGCAGCAAUUUUCAGGGAUCAUCGCAGUAACCCCAUGGGAUGGAGAGCCAGGCAACUCUUUUGGCUCAGUCAAAAGGCUUCCAUCGAGUUAUUACGGAAGGCGACACCAGUAUUGUUAUUCAAGCUCUUCAAGGUGGUUCAUGCCAUUUAGCUAUCCAAGGAAUUGAUAAUGAUAUCCAUAUAUAUGUUGUCAACGUUUUAUUUCAAUCAGCCUUUCUCAUGUUAAAGGGUCUUGUAACAAGGCUGCUCAUAGAAUUGCCUUUAAUAUGUUACAUGUAUGAUAUCUCUUUUAGAUGCAA